ACGGGAGGCAGCAGUAAGGAAUAUUGCGCAAUGGGGGGAACCCUGACGCAGCAACGCCGCGUGUGUGAUGAAGGCCUUCGGGUCGUAAAACACUGUUGAGUGGAACGAGACUCCGGCUGUGAAUAGCUGUCGGACCGACGGUACCACUUGAGGAAGCACCGGCUAACUCCGUGCCAGCAGCCGCGGUAAUACGGAGGGUGCAAGCGUUGUUCGGAAUUAUUGGGCGUAAAGCGCGCGCAGGCGGGAUUUUAAGUCAGAUGUGAAAUCCCUCGGCUUAACCGAGGACCUGCAUUUGAUACUGAAGUUCUUGAGUCCUGGAGGGGGUGGCGGAAUUCCCAGUGUAGAGGUGAAAUUCGUAGAUAUUGGGAGGAACACCAGUGGCGAAGGCGGCCACCUGGACAGUGACUGACGCUGAGGCGCGAAAGCAUGGGUAGCAAACAGGAUUAGAUACCCUGGUA
rnacentral:rRNA from 1 species